GACGAACGCUGGCGGCGUGCUUAACACAUGCAAGUCGAACGAGUUGCGAACGGUUGAGUAAUACGUGAGUAACCUGCCCUCUUUUUGGGAUAAGCCUUGUAAACGGGGUCUAAUACCGGAUAUAGGGGGCUGGGCUCGCGGCCUAUCAGCUUGUUGGUGGGGUGAUGGCCUACCAAGGCGGUGCAGGGUAGCCGGCCUGAGAGGGUGACAGGCCACAUUGGGAGUGAGGUAAGGCACAGACUCAGACGGGAGGCAGCAGUGGGGGAUAUUGAGCAAUGGGCGAAAGCCUGAUGCAGAGACGCCGCGGGGGGGGUGAAGGCUUUUGGGUUGUAAACGUCUUUCGCUAGCGAACGGGUAGGUGGAGAAGAAGCGCCGGCUAACUACGUGCCAGCAGCCGCGGUAAUAC
rnacentral:rRNA from 1 species